UCCAGCCUUCCUAUACUGCCAGUUGAAGUGAAUCCAUUCUGCUCCUCGAGACGGCCUUGUGAAGGUCGGGAGGGCGUUGCCCGGCCUUGAGUGAGUGAGCGACCGAGCGAUGUCAGCUUGUGCGUACAUCAAGCUAUAUAUAAAAACACAUUUCUUAUCACUUAAUGCAACUUGGAGAGUGAUUGAGUGCACUACACGUACUAGCUGCCGAGGAGGGCUAUCACAAUUGGCGAGCACUGCAUACUCCACAGAGGUCACCGCUAACAUUAUUGAUUCAUUUUCUCACCUCACUACUCAUAAGCAGUUGUGCUCUCGUGAAGGAACCUUACCUGCAUCGAGAAAAUCAUAGCCGAGGUGCUAGCUGAGAGAAGCCUAUCCGAUUAUUUCAUUUCGUCAAAUCAACACAU